rnacentral:rRNA from 1 species
GACGAACGCUGGCGGCGUGCUUAACACAUGCAAGUCGAGCGGUAAGGCCCUUUCGGGGGUACGACGAGCGGCGAACGGGUGAGUAACACGUGGGUGACCUGCCCUCAGCUCUGGGAGUAAGCCUGGGAAACCGGGUCUAAUACUGGAUAUGACUCCAUGACGCAUGUUGGUGGGGUGGAAAGCCUUGUGCGGCUGAGGAUGGGCCCGCGGCCUAUCAGCUUGUUGGUGGGGUGANGGCCUACCAAGGCGACGACGGGUAGCCGGCCUGAGAGGGCGACCGGCCACACUGGGACUGAGACACGGCCCAGACUCCUACGGGAGGCAGCAGUGGGGAAUCUUGCGCAAUGGGCGAAAGCCUGACGCAGCGACGCCGCGUGAGGGAUGACGGCCUCGGUUGUAAC